AGAGUUUGAUCCUGGCUCAGGAUGAACGCUGGCGGCAUGGCUAAGGCAUGCAAGUCGAACGCCCCGAUUUAUCGGGGAGUGGCAGACGGGUGAGUAACACAUUGGUAACCUACCUCAAUCUCAGGCAUAGCCCGAAGAAAUUCGGGGUAAUUCCUGAUAGCCCCUGAUAUCUCAAGAUUAUUAGGGUAAAGAUUUAUCGGAUUGAGAGGGGCCUAUGGUCUAUCAGCUUGUUGGUGAGGUAAAAGCUCACCAAGGCAAUGACGGAUAGCGGGCGUGAGAGCGCGACCCGCCUCACAGGGACUGAAGCACUGCCCUGACUCCUACGGGAGGCUGCAGUCACGAAUCUUCCACAAUGGCCGAAAGGCUGAUGGAGCAAUGCCGCGUGAAUGAUGACGCCCUUCGGGGUGUAAAAUUCUUUUAUAGAGGAAUAAUUUUGAAGGUACUUUAUGAAUAAGGGGCUGCUAAUCACGUGCCAGCAGCAGCGGUAAUACGUGAGCCCCGAGCGUUAUCCGGAUUUAUUGGGCGUAAAGCGUCCGCAGGUGGUUUGGUAAGUUCUGCUUCAAAUCUUGAUGCUCAACAUUAAGACUGGGCAGAAAACUAUCAGACUAGAGGAUGGGAGAGGCAAGUGGAAUGAUCGGUGUAGGGGUUAAAUCCGUUAAUAUCGAUUAGAACACCAGAUGCGAAGGCAGCUUGCUAGAACAUACCUGACACUCAUGGACGAAAGCGUGGGGAGCGAACGGGAUUAGAUACCCCGGUAGUCCACGCCGUAAACGAUGGAUACUAGACAUUGGCAGUAUCGACCCUGUCAGUGUCGCUUCUAAAAUAGCUAACGCGUUAAGUAUCCCGCCUGGGGAGUACGGCCGCAAGGCUAAAACUCAAAGGAAUAGACGGGGACCCGCACAAGCGGUGGAUCAGGCGGUUUAAUUCGAUUCUACGCGGAGAACCUCACCAAGGCUUGACAUCUGACCUAUGUUAGACUGGAGACAGACUAUCUUAGUGGUCAUGACAGGUGCUGCAUGGUUGCCGUCAGCAUGUGGUGUGAACUGCACCCUUAAUUGGGGUAACAUGCGCAACCCUCGUGCUGUGUUAAAUGUACACAGCAGACUGCCGGAGUUAAUCCGGAGGAAGCAGGGGACGACGUCAAAUCAGCAUGGCUCUUACGUCUUGGGCUACACGCCUGAUACAAUGGCCGGUACAAUAGGUUGCCAACCCGCAAGGGGGAGCUAAUCCUUAAAACCGGUCCCAGUUCGGAUUGGAGUCUGCAACUCGACUCCAAGAAGUCGGAAUCGCUAGUAAAUGCGUAUCAGCCACGGCGCAUUGAAUACGUUCUCGGGUCUUGUACUCACUGCCCGUCACACCAAGGGAGUUGGCAAUACCAAAGUUCCUCGUUCGAGGGGCAAAGGUAGGGUCAGCAACAGGGGUGAAGUCGUAACAAGGCA
rnacentral:rRNA from 1 species